rnacentral:tRNA from 2 species
UGCUUCAUAGCUCAAUGGUAGAGCAACCGGCUGUUAACCGGUUGGUUCCAGGUUCGAGUCCUGGUGAAGCAG